UACGAAGGGGGCUAGCGUUGCUCGGAAUCACUGGGCGUAAAGCGCACGUAGGCGGGUCGUUAAGUCGGGGGUGAAAUCCUGGAGCUCAACUCCAGAACUGCCUUCGAUACUGGCGAUCUUGAGUCUGGGAGAGGUGGAGUGGAACUCCGAGUGUAGAGGUGAAAUUCGUAGAUAUUCGGAAGAACACCAGUGGCGAAGGCGGCUCACUGGCCCGGUACUGACGCUGAGGUGCGAAAGCGUGGGGAGCAAACAGG
rnacentral:rRNA from 1 species